CGGACGGGUGAGUAACGCGUGGGUAACCUGCCUCACACUGGGGGAUAACAGUUAGAAAUAGCUGCUAAUACCGCAUAAGCGCACAGUUCCGCAUGGAACAGUGUGAAAAACUCCGGUGGUGUGAGAUGGACCCGCGUCUGAUUAGCCAGUUGGCGGGGUAACGGCCCACCAAAGCGACGAUCAGUAGCCGGCCUGAGAGGGUGAACGGCCACAUUGGGGCUGAGACACGGCCCAA
rnacentral:rRNA from 1 species